rnacentral:snoRNA from 1 species
AUCCUUUUGCAGUUCAUAAGAGUGGUGAUUGGGUGUUCACACCGUUGUGUGACAUGUGCCACCCUUAAACCUUGUUAUGAUGUCGGCACAUUACCCAUCUGACU